UGGAUCAGGAAACAGUAGAUGAAAGAAAA
rnacentral:piRNA from 1 species